GCUUGUCUAGCUCAGUUGGUAGAGCGUAAAGCUCUUAACCUUAAGGUUGUGGGUUCGAGCCCUAUCGUGAAUA
rnacentral:tRNA from 1 species